ensembl:lncRNA
CGGACGGCGGCUCCCAGCCGGCCUGUGUUCAGUCACUCCUCCGCGGUCCCCGACCCGCCUGCAGCCCCCCACGACCCGGCUCUCCUCCACGACCACGGCUCUCCUCCUGCUCUCUCGCUCCUUUAUUAUCUGUCGUGGAUCCUUAAAGCCCACCGAGGACUUGUUUGCUGAGGGACCCCAUGUGGCGGUGAAGAGCGGCGGAAUACACACCGGAGAGACGGCCCCCGGGGCCCCGGGCUGGAGAAAGGCGCAGACAGUUUGUUGACGUAGUUCUCAUUCCUUGUCCUCUCCUCCUUUCCUCUCCUCUCCUCCUCUCCUCGCCUCUCCUCUCUUCCUCUCCUCCUCUCCUCCUCUCCUCCUCUCUCUUCUCUUCUCUCUCCUCUCCUCUCCUCCUCUCCUCUCCUCUCCUCUCC